UAUGCACCGGUGGGGUCCCUUGGCCUGGCCUGCAGGGAUCAUCACGAAACUGGCAGUCCGACAUCCCCCGAGGGCUUCCAGAUUGCGAGAGAGCGCAGGCCAGGCCAAGGGACCCCACCGGUGCACA
rnacentral:pre_miRNA from 1 species